ACGCUCGACACCUACGGGGGGCAGCAGUGGGGAAUAUUGCACAAUGGGGGAAACCCGUGAUGCAGCGACGCCGCGUGAAGGAAGAAGUAUCUCGGUAUGUAAACUUCUAUCAGCAGGGAAGAAAGUGACGGUACCUGACUAAGAAGCCCCGGCUAACUACGUGUCAGCAGCCGCGGUAAUCUGAGCGGGCUGGCAAGGC
rnacentral:rRNA from 1 species